UGGGGAAUAUUGCACAAUGGGCGCAAGCCUGAUGCAGCCAUGCCGCGUGUGUGAAGAAGGCCUUCGGGUUGUAAAGCAUUUUCAGCGGGGAGGAAGGCGAUAAGGUUAAUAACCUUGUCGAUUGACGUUACCCGCAGAAGAAGCACCGGCUAACUCCGUGCCAGCAGCCGCGGUAAUACGGAGGGUGCAAGCGUUAAUCGGAAUUACUGGGCGUAAAGCGCACGCAGGCGGUCUGUCAAGUCGGAUGUGAAAUCCCCGGGCUCAAACUGGGAACUGCAUUCGAAACUUGCAGGCUUGAGUCUUGUAGAGGGGGGUAGAAUUCCAGGUGUAGCGGUGAAAUGCGUAGAGAUCUGGAGGAAUACCGGUGGCGAAGGCGGCCCCCUGGACAAAGACUGACGCUCAGGUGCGAAAGCGUGGGGAGCAAACAGG
rnacentral:rRNA from 1 species